UCCCUGGAGGACUAGUGGUUAGGCCUCGGUGCUCUCACCUCCAGGGUUCAAUUCCCAGCCAGGGAA